UUUCUCUCCUUCUCUCACACCCCAAAAGAAAAACCCUUCUUUUUCCCUUCCAAAAUGGACGGCAGCGCCGGCACCGGCACCGGAAACAGCCACAGACUCCUCGACGGCGUCCACCGGCGAAAGCCCACAAAGAAAACCAAACAGCCCAACAAAAACAAACCCAUCAAAGUCGUGUACAUAUCCAACCCCAUGAAGGUUCAAAUCAGCGCAUCUGGAUUCAUGGCUUUGGUCCAACAACUCACCGGCCAAGACGCCGAGUUUCCAGACUCCUCUAAGUUCCCACCCGCCGCCGCCUUCCCCGACAUCCACGACACCACGGCGGAUGCUAAUCUGAUGAUGAAUAACAACCCUUCACUUACUGUUGAGCCUCCGAUGGAGGAUGACCCCCUUCUUGGCACUUUCUAUGAUGACAUUGACGAUCUGAUUUUUCCCCCUCCGGUGAUCGGAAACUACCCAGCACUGCUUCCGGCGGCGGCGGCAACGGCGGUUUUGUAUGAAUCUUAUGCAAGGGUAAUUUCAGCAAGUUGGGGAAAGGAUUGAAGGGAAAGGGAAUUGGGUGAGCCAUGGAAUAUGAUGUAACUCAACAUCACAACCAAACAAAACCCUUAAAAGGUUAUGUAAAUGGUGGGGUUCAUUGUUCAAGUCUCAAAAUCAACGCUUAAGAGGACUACUCAUCUGCUUACUCUAUGUGGGAAAAGUGAAUUUCAUCUCGUGAAUUAUGUUCUUAACUUUAUAUUAGAUUAAGUACCCAAAAUGGUAGGCAUAUGAAUAAGCUACCAAACCUAUUUUCACCAAUGCAAAAUAGAAGACAAACUCUCACAAGCAAGAGUUCAUAACUCACUCAAGAUUAAGAUCGAGUCGCUAAUGAUCAUCGGGUUUAUAAUGAGAUUUAGUUGUCCAGUCUUCUAAAAACUCAUUGUAUAGGAUACCCCUACUCACAUAUCUUCACAUGAAACGAAGGCACCCAUC